UUCACCCAGCCUGGCAUAGCAGGCGGCAGGGUUAUUUUGCUUUCAUAAGCCAUGUUAUGUAACUAAAAUUUUGAAUAGUGACAGUGAGCCAACUGAGAUGUCACACAGAAGGGGAGGGGAAGAGCAAUCAAAGAAGUGGAGAGAGAAUACGGAAAGAGAGUAAGAAUGGAGGAGCAGAAAAGAGAGAAAAACUGGAAGGGAGAGUGGGGAUAAGGAGACUAUUUCUCCUGCCUGUUCGUAUGUUCUUGGUCUCCAGUGACAGGGUAUGCUACCUGAAAAGUUCUCCUCCCCUCAUUUGAGCUGGGCUGGAGGCCUCCUUCAGGUCCCAGUCUGUGGAAAACCUUGCUGAGUGCCAGCUGUCUGCAGGCAUCACCCCGGGGCCCACUGGUGUCCUAUUGGAGGCUGCAGCUGCCUGGCAUGGUGUAGCACAGAGUGUUCUAGGUGGAAGACAAACAGGCAUGACACUGUCUCCAAUCAUGCAGCCUCCAAGACAAUUCCAGGCUGACUGCGGGAGUCAGGGGCUGGUGUCUUGGACAUCCCUGAUGGUGCAGUGGUUAAGAAUCCGACUGCCAAUGCAGGGGACACGGGUUCGUGCCCUGGUCUGGGAAGAUCCCACCUGCCAUGGAGCGACUAAGCCCCUGCGCCACAGCUACUGAGCCUGCGCUCUAGAGCCCACAAGCCACAACUACUGAGCCCGCGUGCCACAACUACUGAAGCCCACGCCGAGAGCCCACUCUCUGCAACAAAGAGAAGCCACCGCAAUGAGAAGCCCGCGCAUCGCAAUGAAGAGUAGCCCCCACUCACCGCAACUAGAGAAAGCCCGCACACAGCAACGAGGACCCAACACAGCCAAAAAUAAAUAAAUUUAAAUUAAAAAAUUUUUUAAAUAAAAAUAAAAUAAAAAGCUU